rnacentral:rRNA from 1 species
UGAAGCAGUGGAAAAAGACCGUACGAGUAGUAUACAUAGGCGCUGACAUGAUACGCAGCCUGAACACCGGGUAUAUCUGUGCCAGCACAGCCGGUAUUACAGAGGGUUCACGAGUGAAUUCGGGUAUUUGGGGGUAAAAAGAGCGUGCAGGUCGUUUUAUGUCUGAUAUGAGAUACCCCGGGUUACCCUCGUAGAGGCUUAUGAUAAUGUUGAAGUCGUGUGGGCAAGAGAGAAAUGGAGUUCCACAUGUGUAGCGGAAAAAUGUAGAGAUAUGGGGAAGUACAGCAGUGGAGAGGAGGUUUUUGUCAUCAGUAAGACACUGAGAGGCGAAAAAGUGUGGGAGCACACACAGAUUAGAUAUCCCCGUUAGUGUCCCGCGCCGUAAACGAUGAGCUAGUAGUUUAGAGGGUUUCCCCCUUUUAGUGCAGAAGACGCAAUAAGUAGACCUCCGCGGGGGGAGUACGGCAAGGUUAAAAAUCAAAAAAGGAAUCGGCGGGCCCCCCCACAAGCGGUGCAGCAUGUUUAAUAAUUUGAAGCAACAAGAAGAACCUUACCUGGUCUCAUAUUCCUAAUCAAACCGAGAUGAUAGAGCUUCUUCUUCAAUUACAGAACAGCAGGUGCAUCAUGGUUGUCGUCAGCUGUCGUGAGAUGAUGGUGGAAGUAGUCCAACGACGACAACCCUUGUCGAUAGUAGCCACCAUCAUAAACCGGGCAUCUAAGGAUACUGCCAGGUGACAAACUGGAGGAAAGGGGGGGAGACGUCAAGUCAUCAUGGCCCUUUAUGACCAGGGCUACACACGUGCUACAAUGGUAGGUACAGAGGGCAGCAAGACAGCGAGGUGGAGCGAAUCUCAAAAAGCCGUUCUCAGUUCGGAUUGGAGUCUGCAACUCGCCUCCAUGAAGUAGGAAUCGCUAGUAAUCGCGGAUCAGCAUGCCGCGGUGAAUACGUUCCCGGGCCUUGUACACACCGCCCGUCACACCAUGGGAGUUUGUAACACCAGAAGUGGUGAGCGCGUAACCUUUUAGGAGCGGCGACCACUAACGGGGGAGCUGAAUAG